CCUACGGGGUGCAGCAGUGGGGAAUAUUGGGCAAUGGAGGCAACUCUGACCCAGCACCGCCGCGGGAAUGAUGAAGGUCUUCGGAUGGUAAGUUUCUUGAAGGGGGGAUGAACACAAUGACGUUACCCCAAUAUCAAGCCACGGCUAACUACGGGCCAGCAGCCUCGGUAAUACGUAGGUGGCAAGCGUUAUCCGGAAUGACUGGGGGUAAAGGGUGCGUAGGUGGUUUAGUAAGUUGGCGUGGUAAUUCCGGGGCUCAACCUCGGCGCUACCGCCAAAACUAUUAGACUAGAGUGCAGGAGGGGUAAGUGGAAUUCCUAGUGUAGCGGUGGAAGGCGUAGAUAUUAGGAGGAACAUCAGGGGCGAAGGCGACUUACUGGACUGUAACUGACACUGAGGCACGAAAGCGUGGGGAGCAAACAGGAUUAGAUACCCUUGUAGUC
rnacentral:rRNA from 1 species